UUAUGUUGAUUCUGUGAUGAUUUUAUUUUAUGCAGGCGCUUCAUGAAGCUUUAAUGAGACAAGAAGAAUUGCUUGCGUACAUAGACAGUCAAGAAGAAGCUAAGUUCAGGAAGAAGAAGUUUUGCUGGUAAGAUGGUUUGUCGGCGGAGGAGGCCUACACAGAUUGCUCGGCCGUAUCUCAAUCACGAGAUAUAUAUACUGAACCAACCAUGUCGAUCAGCCAAACGUAUACUACUCUCAACAGUGUAAUCCCAAACUUAUGUUAAGCGAAAUUAAUGUUUCGAAACUAUGCUUUGUGUUGUUUAUUCCUUUUUUAACUCGUUCAACUUGUUGUGACACUCGAAAUGAGCACAUUUAAUAUCAUGAGCUUUCGUAUA